rnacentral:rRNA from 1 species
AUGUCGUACGAGUCGUCCAUGGCCGGGGGCGGGGGCGGGGAGCGGCGCCGGUCCGCCUUCCACAUCGGGUACGGCGGCGUGGUGGGCGCGUCCCGGCGGCGGCUGGCGCAGCCGGAGCUCCUGGCGCGCGACGUGAUCACGCAUGGCUCGGCGCAGCUGCGCACGCUGGGCCGGUCGAUCCGCACGGGCGCGGCCAUGGCGGCCGUGUUCCAGGAGGACCUCAAGAACACGUCGCAAAAGAUCUUCGACCCGCAGGACCGCAUCUUGGUACGCCUCAACCGCAGCUUCCUCAUCUCCUGCAUCAUCUCCAUCGCCAUCGACCCCAUGUUCUUCUACGGGCCCCGGGUGAGGGAGGAGCAGCUCCCCGGGGAGAAGAACACGAACCUGUGCAUCGGCAUCGACCACAGCCUCGCCAUCUCCACCGCCGUGAUCCGCACCCUGUUCGACAUCUUCUUCCUGGCGCGCAUCGCGCUGCAGUUCCGCACCGCCUUCAUCGCGCCCUCCUCCAGGGUGUUCGGGCGCGGCGAGCUGGUGAUCGACACCGUGGAGAUCGCCAAGCGCUACUGCCGCCGCUUCUUCAUCGCCGACGUCUUCUCCGUGCUCCCGCUGCCGCAGAUCGUCAUCUGGAAGUUCCUGUACCGGGAGGACAAGACGGCGGUGCUGGAGACCAAGGACAGGCUGCUGUCCAUCAUCAUCGCGCAGUACGUGCCGCGGCUGGUCCGGAUAUACCCGCUGUCCACGGAGCUCAAGCGCACCAGCGGCGUGUUCGCCGAGACGGCCCUCGCCGGCGCCGCCUACUACCUGCUGUGGUACAUGCUGGCCAGCCACAUCGUGGGCGCCUUCUGGUACCUGCUGUCCAUCGAGCGGGUGACGGACUGCUGGCGCUUCUCGUGCAACGAGUUCCCAGGGUGCAACCAGAUCUACAUGUACUGCGGCAAGACGGAGAGCAACGAGGAGUACACGGAGUGGACCACCGUGAUCAGGCAGGUCAUCACCGAGAACUGCCAGCCCACCGACGACGGCGAGAUGCCCUUCGACUACGGCAUGUACUCGUCGGCCGUCACGUCGGCCGUGACCACCUCCAAAGACAUGACCACCAAGCUCCUCUUCUGCCUCUGGUGGGGCCUCGCCAACUUGAGUACGCUGGGCCAAGGGCUCAAGACAACCAUCUACACCGGGGAGUCGCUCUUCGCCAUUACGCUCGCCACCUUCGGCCUCAUCCUAAUGGCCAUGCUCAUCGGAAACAUUCAGACGUAUCUGCAAUCGCUGACCGUGCGGCUGGAGGAGAUGCGGGUGAAGCGGCGCGACUCGGAGCAGUGGAUGCACCACCGGCUGCUGCCGAUGGAGCUGCGCGACCGCGUCCGGCGCUACGACCAGUACAAGUGGAUCAACACCCGCGGCGUGGACGAGGAGGCCCUGGUCCAGAACCUCCCCAAGGACCUCCGCCGCGACAUCAAGCGCCACCUCUGCCUGGGCCUCGUCCGGAGGGUGCCGCUGUUCGCCAACAUGGACGAGCGCCUCCUGGACGCCAUCUGCGAGCGCCUCAAGCCGGCGCUCUACACGGAGCAGACCUACAUCAUCCGGGAGGGGGACCCCGUGGACCAGAUGCUCUUCAUCAUCCGCGGCAGCCUCGAGAGCAUCACCACGGACGGCGGCCGGAGCGGCUUCUUCAACCGCAGCAUGCUCCAGGAGAGCGACUUCUGCGGCGAGGAGCUGCUCACCUGGGCGCUGGACCCCAAGUCCGGGGUCAGCCUGCCCUCCUCCACGCGCACCGUCAUGGCGCUCUCCGAGGUCGAGUCCUUCGCGCUGCACGCCGAGGAGCUCAAGUUCGUGGCGGGCCAGUUCCGGCGCAUGCACAGCAAGCAGGUGCAGCACACCUUCCGCUUCUACUCGCAGCAGUGGCGCACCUGGGCCGCCACCUACGUCCAGGCCGCCUGGCGCCGGCACCUCAAGCGGAAGGCGGCCGAGCAGCGGCGCAGGGAGGAGGAGGAGGAAGGCCGGUCGUCGAGCUUCAAAACCACCAUACUCGUGUCACGGUUCGCGGCCAACGCGCUGCGCGGCGUGCACAGGCAGCGGUCCACCAAGCGGGAUCAAGGGGAUAUCAUGAUCCAUGUCCCCGUGCCCAAGCCGCGUGAGCCGGACUUCGGCGCUGAUGAUUGA